UCAUCUCUACAUCAUUUCAUGGAGAAGGAACCCAUCAGGUUAUCUUCCGCCUGUUCCUGAAUUGGGAAAAAGGCCUGUCAAAACACCGCGAGAUGGCAAAGGGUGGAAGGCGCGGCGAGAUUGACGGAAAAUAUCUCAAGUGCAACCUCUACUCCCGCUUUGAUGUUUAAUUUUCAACGAACAAAUCACGACUGUGAGCCCAAGCCCGAUUCCCCAGUUUCCUCCGACACCAAACAAUGUCGUUGUGGCCAUGGCGCUUGCGAAGUCAAAACCUCACGGAGUGGCAGGAACUUCUAUGCCUACCCCAUCAAAAGGGUAUGAUUCCUGUUAAGUUUUUUGAUAUAAGAAAAUAUAGAUUGAUAGACAUUAAAACUAUUUUAUAUAACAUUAAUUUACUGG